ACGUCCGUCAACAAGAGAGACUUCCUGUGCUUCAGGCUGCAGCGACUUCGAACUUCCUCAGACACUGUCAGCAAAGCUAAAACGCCAAAGAAAGCCAAGGAGACUGGACCCUGCAUCAGCCAAAACCAAGCCUCCAGAGCCAACACAUCAGACAAAAGUCUACCAGGAAGGAUUAACUGAAAAUCAAACUCAACAUCUCGUGGGCAUCUGAGGUACUUCAAAUACCUGCCACUGUUUCAAGCUAGCAUGAGCUCCACUCCUUCAAGGCAAAGUGACCGCAGAAGGAGGUAAUAAAUACUGUCAGCAUGGA